rnacentral:rRNA from 1 species
UACGGAGGAUCCGAGCGUUAUCCGGAAUUAUUGGGUUUAAAGGGUGCGUAGGCGGCCAUUUAAGUCAGCGGUGAAAUUUUGCAGCUUAACUGUAACAGUGCCGUUGAUACUGUUUGGCUAGGAUUUGGUUGUAGUGUGCGGAAUGUGUGGUGUAGCGGUGAAAUGCUUAGAUAUCACACAGAACACCGAUUGCGAAGGCAGCACACUAAGUCAUUACUGACGCUGAGGCACGAAAGUGUGGGGAUCAAACAGGAUUAGA